rnacentral:lncRNA from 1 species
GUUAACACAGAUGAGGGAUGUAAGACUCGUGAAGUAGUGAAAAAAUUACCAAUUGCUCCUUCACCAGAGGCUAUCUCAACACUUCAUGCGGUGUGAGACGUCCCAGUCCAACUGAAAUUAGUGGGGACACUGCUAACCUGGAGGAGUUCACUGACCGGCCACAUCUGCAUGGCUUCUCGCAUAGCCACCGUGGCAGGCGACCUCAGAGCCCCCUGAGCAGAAGUGAGUGCAACCUCAGAUGACAGCAGCUACUGGACCAGUUUGUCUGGGUCAGGAACCUGUACCCUCAGCUACAACUGCAGAGAAUCACAGCCCCUUGCUGGGGCUCACCUCCCCAGCCCCUCCUUCAGCCCAGGCCUCUGUACCAGUGCUGUGGGGGCUUCAGUAACUCCUUUCGGAUUUGUGCUUAGCGAGCAGGGGAAGGAAUGCAUCGCACCAGUGCACGACUGAAUUCUCGGGGAGCCUAGGAACCGGGAUCUCUGUCUGAUCCAGGCACUUAACCAAAAUGUAAGUCUUGGCAGCUCUUUGUUUCCUCAAAGAAGGUGGUUAUAUGACCGUGGCAGCAGAAUCGAC